UACGAAGGGGGCUAGCGUUGCUCGGAAUCACUGGGCGUAAAGGGUGCGUAGGCGGGUCUUUUAAGUCAGGGGUGAAAUCCUGGAGCUCAACUCCAGAACUGCCUUUGAUACUGAAGAUCUUGAGUUCGGGAGAGGUGAGUGGAACUGCGAGUGUAGAGGUGAAAUUCGUAGAUAUUCGCAAGAACACCAGUGGCGAAGGCGGCUCACUGGCCCAAUACUGACGCUGAUGCACGAAAGCGUGGGGAGCAAACAGG
rnacentral:rRNA from 1 species